CGUCCGUAAGACUUAGCAAGGAGCAGUGCAUCUCUGUGCACGUCAGCGGAAGGAUUCAUCCACACUCAGACGCUGCUUCUCCGUGGGGGAAUUCAUUCUUCCGUGAGAGAGCAGCCGGCUCAGAGUUGGGGACGAUACUUGAGGACCAGAAUCUGGAGGACGCUGUUAUCAGGAUGAAUGACAAUGUUAUGGUGAAGCCUAAGGACUAAUAUGUGAAGAAAUAAUGCAAAUAAAUGAAAAUAUGAAUCAUGAGUAGUGACAAGAUUCCACUGAGGAAAUUUAUUUGAAGCAUUUGGGGAAAAUUUUCAGCUGAGGUGAAUUAGAGGACUGAGAAGCCUAUGAAAGCCCCACUAAACAUUGUGUGUUACAAUCCACUAAGAACACUGGAAGACACAUGGAUCUGAACAAAUCCUACAAUGACUUUCCUUCCACAGAAAAUAUUUCAGCACACAGAGAAGAACCAUGGAGAUUAACCCUGGAGGAAAUGUGGAAAAGCCCAGAGAUACAAGGGAACAGUGUCUGGGGGAUGCUUUGAAAUGUAUCACACUUCUUGGAAACAAUAACAUGGCCCUGGACAACCCUGCAUCCUAAAAUGGCCCCUGCCUACAGGAAACCAGUCACUCCAGAGAGAACAAAGACCUGCUCUUUCCUGUCUCGCCCUCAGUCAUAGCCAGUCAUCUGCCUCCAUCACACUCCUCCAGCCCUUAUAAACCUCACCCAGCCAAGCCCUGGUUGCUGCUCUCACCAUUGUUCGAGACAGCCUGGCAGCUCUGUCCCUUAAUAAAAGCUCUGCUUUGGGUGUUCGUGUUUCACCUCAUUUUAUUUCUCUCAUUAUUGGUGCUGAACAGCGGGGAGGGAUGUGAUUGGGAUUUUGCGAGGGUCCCCCCACUGGCCAAGGUUGAUUGGCCUCCUGACUGCCCUUGUCGGACCCUGCCAAGCCAACACCCUACCAGGAG
ensembl:lncRNA